UACUACUGGGAGGGUAUUCACGAGACAGCGUUACAAGGACAAGGCUCACAAGCUACAGACCAGGCAGAUGCUAUAAUUAGGGUUGCCCAAAGACAUGUUCCCGAGUUCUCAGAGCUUCUUCAGAACAGCCCUCUUCAAAAAAGCCGAGACUCCUCGCCGGCUUAUAAAGACAUCCAAGAAGCUACACAUCUAGAUCCCGAGGAGGCGCCAAAGACCCCAGUCACCAGAACAGCGAAG